rnacentral:misc_RNA from 1 species
CCAAUAGCGUAUAUUAAAGUUGUUGUGGUUAAAAAGCUCGUAGUUGAACCUUGGGCCUGGCUGGCCGGUCCGCCUCACCGCGUGCACUGGUCCGGCCGGGCCUUUCCCUCUGUGGAACCCCAUGCCCUUCACUGGGUGUGGCGGGGAAACAGGACUUUUACUUUGAAAAAAUUAGAGUGCUCCAGGCAGGCCUAUGCUCGAAUACAUUAGCAUGGAAUAAUAAAAUAGGACGUGUGGUUUUAUUUUGUUGGUUUCUAAGACCGCCGUAAUGAUUAAUAGGGACAGGCGGGGGCAUCAGUAUUCAAUUGUCAGAGGUGAAAUUCUUGGAUUUAUUGAAGACUAACUACUGCGAAAGCAUUUGCCAAGGAUGUUUUCAUUAAUCAGGAACGAAAGUUAGGGGAUCGAAGACGAUCAGAUACCGUCGUAGUCUUAACCGUAAACGAUGCCGACUAGGGAUCGGACGGUGUUAUUUUUUGACCCGUCCGGCACCUUACG